AACGAACGCUGGCGGCAUGCCUAACGCAUGCAAGUCGAACGAUCCCUUCGGGGAUAGUGGCGCACGGGUGCGUAACGCGUGGGAACCUGCCCUUAGGUUCGGAAUAACUCAGAGAAAUUUGAGCUAAUACCGGAUAAUGUCUUCGGACCAAAGAUUUAUCGCCUUUGGAUGGGCCCGCGUUGGAUUAGCUAGUUGGUGGGGUAAAGGCCUACCAAGGCGACGAUCCAUAGCUGGUCUGAGAGGAUGAUCAGCCACACUGGGACUGAGACACGGCCCAGACUCCUACGGGAGGCAGCAGUGGGGAAUAUUGGACAAUGGGCGAAAGCCUGAUCCAGCAAUGCCGCGUGAGUGAUGAAGGCCUUAGGGUUGUAAAGCUCUUUUACCCGGGAUGAUAAUGACAGUACCGGGAGAAUAAGCCCCGGCUAACUCCGUG
rnacentral:rRNA from 1 species